rnacentral:ncRNA from 1 species
UCCUUAGUGGCGGACCGGGCCCAAGUCCCCCAGAAGGGGGCACCUGAGAGGGUGAUAGCCCCGUCGAGGUGAGACCCUGAUGCACCACAAGGCAUUGUCGGCGAGUCGGGUUGUUUGGGAAUAGAGCCCUAAUUGGGUGGUGAAUUUCAUCCAAGUCUAAAUACAGGCGAGAGACCGAUAGCGAACAAGUACCCCGAGGGAAAUAUGAAAAGGACUUGGAAAAGAGAGUUAAAGAGUGCUUGAGAUUCGUGGGAGGGAAGCGGAUGGAGACCCGCGAUGCAUAUUGUUCGAAUGUGGAACUGCUCAGGCUGGUCCGUCGCUCGACUCGAGGUACGAACCAGAACAAGUCAUUGCAUCGACACAAGCGUGGGUGGAGUACUCCCUAUUGGUUUUCCAUUGUGGAGGUCAAGGAAUGAAGCGUGCACCCCUUGGGGCAGACCACUGUGCACCUACAUGCUUGUGGUGUUGGUUGGUGGGAUUUCCAUUUGACCCAUCUUGAAACACAGACAAGGGAGUCUAACAUGUGGGAAAGUCGGUGGGUUUGUAAACCUGCGAGGCGUAAGGAAUAUGACAGGUGAGAUCCCCUCUCCACGGGGUGCAUUGUCCACCGACCUUGAGCUUGUGCAAAGGGUUCGAGUGCGAGCACACCUGUUGGGACCCAAAAUAUGGUGAACUAUGCCUGAGAAGGGCAAAGCCAGAGGAAACUCUGGUGGAGGCCCGUAGCGAUAUUGACAUGCAAAUCGUUCAUCUGACUUGGGUAUAGAGGUGAAAGACUAAUCGAACCAUCUAGUAGUUGGUUUCCUCCAAAGUUUCCCUCAGGAUAUUUGGAGCUCAUGUGUGAGUUGUAUCGGGUAAAGCAAAUGAUUAGAGGCAUCGGGAGCAUAACGUCCUCGACCUAUUCUCAAACUUUAAAUAGGUAAGACGGUGCGGCUGCUCCACUAAGACAUGCCAUGGAAUCGAGAGCUCCAAGUGGGACAUUUUUGGUAAGAAUAAUUGGCAAUGCAGGAUGAACUGAAAGUCAAGUUACGGUGCCAAACUGCGCGCUAACCCAGAUCCCACAAAGGGUGUUGGUUGAUUAAGACAGCAGGACAGUUGUCAUGGAAGUCAAAAUUUGCUAAGGAGUGUGUAACAACUCACCUGUCGAAUCAACUAGCCCUGAAAAUGGAUGGCGUUGAAGCGCGCGACCUAUACUCGACCAUCGGAGCAAUUUCCAGGCUUCGAUGAGUAGAAGGACGCGGGGGUCGUUGAGAAACCUUGGGCGUGAGCCUGGGUGGACCAGUCCCCCAUGCAGAUCUUGGUGGUAGUAGAAAAUAUUCAAAUGAGAAAUUUGAAGACUGAAGUAGGGAAAGGUUCCAUGUGAACAACACUUGG